rnacentral:rRNA from 1 species
UAGGGAAUCUUCGGCAAUGGACGGAAGUCUGACCGAGCAACGCCGCGUGAGUGAAGAAGGUCUUCGGAUCGUAAAGCUCUGUUGUUAGAGAAGAACGUUGGUAGGAGUGGAAAAUCUACCAAGUGACGGUAACUAACCAGAAAGGGACGGCUAACUACGUGCCAGCAGCCGCGGUAAUACGUAGGUCCCGAGCGUUGUCCGGAUUUAUUGGGCGUAAAGCGAGCGCAGGCGGUUCUUUAAGUCUGAAGUUAAAGGCAGUGGCUUAACCAUUGUACGCUUUGGAAACUGGAGGACUUGAGUGCAGAAGGGGGGAGUGGAAUUCCAUGUGUAGCGGUGAAAUGCGUAGAUAUAUGGAGGAACACCGGUGGCGAAGGCGGCUCUCUGGUCUGUAACUGACGCUGAGGCUCGAAAGCGUGGGGAGCAAACAGG